GCUCCCAUGGCGUAGUGGUCACUGCGCUCGCCUUGCACGCGGGAGACCCGGGUUCGAUUCCCGGCGGGGGGU
rnacentral:tRNA from 1 species